AGCGAACGCUGGCGGCAGGCCUAACACAUGCAAGUCGAACGAAGUCUUCGGACUUAGUGGCGGACGGGUGAGUAACACGUGGGAACGUGCCUUUAGGUUCGGAAUAACUCAGGGACACUUGUGCUAAUACCGAAUGUGCCAUUCGGGGGAAAGAUUUAUCGCCUUUAGAGCGGCCCGCGUCGGAUUAGCAAGUUGGUGAGGUAAAGGCUAACCAAGGCGACGAUCAGUAGCUGGUCUGAGAGGAUGAUCAGCCACAUUGGGACUGAGACACGGCCCAAACUCCCACGGGAGGCAGCAGUGGGGAAUCUUGCGCAAUGGGCGAAAGCCUGACGCAGCCAUGCCGCGUGAAUGAUGAAGGUCUUAGGAUUGUAAAAUUCUUUCACCGGGGACGAUAAUGACGGUACCCGGAGAAGAAGCCCCGGCUAACUUCGUGCCAGCCGCCGCGGUAAAAC
rnacentral:rRNA from 1 species